AUGGUAAUGAGCAAUUUGAUGCUUGUGCUAACAGUGUUCAUGGUCUCUGCUACUUACCUCUUGAUGAGGAGGAUGAGAGGAAAGAAUAGGCUACCACCAGGGCCAGGCUUCGCUCUCCCGCUAGCGGGCCACCCCCACCUGCUUCGUGAGAAGCCGCUCCAUGUCACGCUCGCCGGCCUCGCCGCGCGCCACGGCCCCGUCCUCUCCCUCCGCCUUGGCCGCCGCGACGCCGUCGUCGUCACCUCGCUGCGGCUGGCCAAGGAGUGCUUCUCCUCCGACCUCGAUGUUGCCUUCGCCAACCGCCCGCGGUUCCCCUCCGCGCGGGAGGUCUCGUUCGGCUACACGGGGCUGCCGGCCGCUAGCUACGGCCCGCACUGGCGCGCCAUGCGCCGCAUCGCCACCGUGCACCUCCUCUCGGCGCGCCGCGUCGACCUCAUGUCCGAUGCCGCCAUCGCCGACGAGACCCGUGUCAUGGUGCGACGCCUUGCGCGCGCCGCAGCUGCGGUCAGCAGCGGCGUCGCCAAGGUCGAGCUAAAGCGGAAUCUGUUCGAGCUCUCGCACGGCGUCCUCAUGGAGUCCAUUGCGGGAACCAAGGGCAAGCGCGGUGCCGGCUCUGACGCCGACAUGUCCGAGGAGGCGCACGAGUUCAAGAAAGUGGUGGACGAGAUCAUGCCGCUGCUCGGCAUGGCGAACCUGCACGACCACCUGCCGGCACCGCUGCGCUGGCUGGACUUGGGCGGCGUACGCCGGAGGCUCACCGAGCUGGUGAACCGGAGGAACGCGCUGAUGCAUGGUCUGAUCGAUGCAGAGAGGGAACGGCGGCGGCAGGAGGACCACGCCGCCGACGAGGAGGAGCUGCUGCCGGAGUCGAAGAGCAUGAUCGGCGUGAUGCUCUUGCUGCAGGAGUCCGAUCCGCAGCAGUACACGGACACUUUCAUCGCCGCUCUAGUCACCGUGAGUGCUCCUCCUCCUACUGGUUCGUCUUGCACGUUCACGGCCAAAAGAAUGCAUAUAUCCACGUUCUCUGCUCUGCUCUGUGAAGAACCUCUUCGGCGGCGGCACGGUGACCACGUCGGCGACCAUGGAAUGGGCCAUGUCGCUGCUGCUCAACCACCCGUACGCGCUGCGGAAGGCGCGAGAGGAAGUGAGCGCGCGUGUUGGCCACGCCCGCCUCCUGAGCAGGGACGACCCCACCUCCCUUACCUCCGGUGCAUCAUCAGCGAGACCCUCCGGCUCUACCCCGCCGCGCCGCUGCUAGCGCCGCACGAGUCAUCCUCCGACUGCAGCCUCCAUGGGUACCACGUCCCGGCGGGCACCAUGCUGCUCGCCAACGCCUACGCCAUCCACCGGGACCCGUCCGUCUGGGACGACCCAGAGGAGUUCAGGCCGGAAAGGUUCGGCGUUAAUAGCGCCGACGGGCAGGGCCAGCAGGGGAUGAUGCUGCCGUUCGGGAUGGGACGGCGGCGGUGCCCCGGGGAGAGCCUUGCGCUGAGAACCAUGGGGCUGGUGCUGGGGACCUUGAUCCAGUGCUUCGACUGGAGCAGGGUGGCCGGCGACGAGGUUGACAUGACGCAGGCCUCUGCCAAGAUCCUGUAUAAAGCUGUUCCUCUGGUAGCUCUCUGCAAACCCCACGACAACAUGCGGGCUGUGCUUCACAAGAUCUAG
rnacentral:rRNA from 1 species